rnacentral:misc_RNA from 1 species
GCAAACUUGGUCAUUUAGAGGAAGUAAAAGUCGUAACAAGGUUUCCGUAGGUGAACCUGCGGAAGGAUCAUUACAGAUAUAUAUUAUUAUUAUCUUUCCAAACAACACCCACUUUACUGUGAACCUUUUGGUUGUGAAGUAAAUAGGGCAUACCUAUUUAAGCUAGAAGCUUUUAAUGCUUUGCAAUCCAAAUUUUUUCCUAUUAUACACCAAAAACCUAUAAUGAAUGGAUAAUGGUAUACUUAUACUAUAUACAUAACUUUCAGCAACGGAUCUCUUGGCUCUCGCAUCGAUGAAGAACGCAGC